rnacentral:lncRNA from 1 species
GAUGGGCUGGGUCAGGGUCGGCCGACCCUAGGGGGCGGCCGCCCCCUGGUGGGCCCCACUGGCCCCGGCCCGAAGCCCGUUGCCUUCCUAUCGGGCCCCUGAGUCCAGAUCCACCUGCAAAUUGAUGCACUUCUAUAUUGGGCUUUUGGGUACUUGUUUAUUUGCGCAUUUUUUUGACGUGUCGGAUUGCGCCUUUUUAUUUGCUUUCCACCUGUAUGCCUGUAUAUGAUCU